rnacentral:lncRNA from 1 species
UGAAAACUGGCACAAGACAGGGAUGCAUUGUUAAAAAAAUAAUAUUUCUGGGGAAAAGGCUCAGUGCUCAACGGUUACUCUAUAAAGAGAUUUAAAAAGAAAGUCAAGGGAAGAUAAGGAAGGUAGCAUGGCUAACAACCUCGUGGGUUCUACUAGCAUUAUUUCAUGCAAAAUGUCAUUAACCUUUAUAUAGGAGAGAAUAAGUCUGGGAAUCAACUGGCAUCUAAACUCCAUUUCUUGUUUUGUCACUGCUUCCCUGGUUGACUAUGGAAAAUACAUUUGGUCUUUUGAUACCUUGGUUUCAACAACUAUAACAUGACUUAAGAACUUUUAUGCAUGGACUUUGUAAUAGUUAUCUAUUUCUGCAUACAAAUUACUUCAAAACUUAAAUCGUCGUUUGAAACAACAAACACUAUCUCACAGUUUCUGUGGGUCAGGAGUCCAGACAUGGCUUAUUGGGUAACCGCCUCAAAGUCUUACUAGGCUGUAAUACAGUUAUUGGCUAGAGCUGCUGUUUCAUCUGAAGGUUCAAUUGAGAGAGGAUCCACUUCUAAGCUCACUCACAUGGUUGCUGGCACAAUUCAAUUCCUCUCAGGCUAUUGGAUUAAGGGUCUCAGUUCCCUACUGACUGUUGGUCAGUGAACUUUCCUCAGUUCUUUGCCAUAUGGGGAUCCAUAGAACAGCUCACUACAUGGCAACUGGCUUCUAUCAAAGUGAGCAAUAAGGAAGUAAGCAAGAGAGGUUUGCAAGACAAAAGCUACUAUCUCUUUAUAAUCUAAUCUCAGAAGUAGCAUCAUAUCCCUUCUGCCAUAUUCUGUUCAUUAGAAGUAAAUCUCUGGGUCUAGCCAUACUCUAUUGCAGAGAUCACACAAGGGUGUGAAUACAGACACAGGGAUUGUUGGGGCUCAUCUUAGAGGUCGUCUCCCAUAGAGUUAGCUGCCAAUCUGAGGGGUCACAGGGACCCAUGCAUCUGGGCCAGAACACUGGGAUUUCAUCCCUUAAGCAGGACAACAUUCAUUCAGAAACAUAUAUAUAUGUUUAUAUGUUUCUCACUAAUCAAAGAGAGAAGCAAGGCCUGUCCCUGACGAGCUCCCUUUCUCAGAUCCGCCCUGAACUGCCUAAGUUAAAUCCAUGUACCUUGACUAGGUGAACCAUAGAGUCCAAGCCUAGAGUUGGGUCCUGGGUUUAAUCCUGGUUCUGUCUUAGCCCUAUGACCUUAGGCCACUUCUCUUCGGCUUGGUUUUCUUUGCAUCAGGAAGUGUCGGAUUAGAUCCCAACAAUGGUUCUCAAAUUGGAGUGCCUGUGAAAAUCACCUGGGGUCAUUUGAAAAAUUCCUGAUGCCUAGCACACCCCUGACAAAUUAAAUCAGAAGAUCUGAGGGUGAGAUUCAGGCAAGAGGACUUCUUAACAGCUCCCCAAGUGAUUUCAUUGUUCAGCCAAGGUUGAUAACUACUCAUUUAGAAGAUUGGUAAUCCUAACUCUGGUACAUGGGAACUAUCUGAGGAGCUUUAAAAACAAAUACAGAAGCCAGAAUCUUAGGACAAUUAAAAUAGAAAUCCCUGGGGGUUGGUCCCAGACAUGGUGUCUUUCAAAGCUCCCCAGAUGAUUCUAAUGUGUAGCCAGAUUUGUGGACCCUCAGGUUUAAUGAUCUUCAAGAAUCCUCUAUCUAAGGUUCUAAGCUUGUCCGAAUGGACUUGUAGAGCUAUAAGCACGUGUACCACCUUCUCAGGAAGGUGGCCGCUCCAAUGCUCUCUGACUCUAAAGAAUGAAAUGAUUAUUCCCACCCGAACAUCCAUCUUCUCUGGGUUUACCGUCCCCUACUUACAGUCCGUAAAAAGGUCACCCUAGACUUGACCUCAGUCUCAUUGUGACACACACAGCACGCCAGCGUUCUUAACCUUUUUGGUUACAGAGACCCUUUUAGAAACUUCAUGAAAAUUGUAAGUCAUCUCAUAAGGAGGAUCUUACAUGCACAUCAAAUUGAGCAUACAAUUUUCAUGGAUCCCUAAACUCUUGAUAC